UAAAAUAAGACAACUAAUUUUUUCAUCAGCACCUUGACUAAACAGGUUCUUUUCUAUUAAAAAUACAGCUCUACUGUUUAUAACUUGCCUUUAAAAAUAAAACCAAACUCAAAAGAAAUACCACACAAUAAUGUCAUGACACCUCUCAUUUCUUUUUUCAGCUGAAAAGGAGAUUGCUUCUUGCAAAAAGAGUGCUCACAAAAUAAGUGCGUGCCUUUUUCAUAGGCAAAACCCUUCAUCUCAUCCUGAUGUAACUACCCUAAGAACAUGUGACUAAAACAGGACUCAGUACUCUUGCAAAGGCCUCCUGACUGCUAAGUGAAAUACAAGAUUUCUUCGCAGAUAUUAAAGUUGAACUCAUUCUGGACUUGUCAGCCUUCUAGAUCCAUGCCAUUGCAGUGAGGUGAGAACAGCUUGACAUGAGCCUUCUGAAAACUAUGCUGGAACAGCAUCCCUCAACCUUGCUGUUCACAGGUGAUGAUUCUGAGCAAGCUGGGUGCUGCAGCACCAGAGCCCUGUGUCCUGAUGACUGCAAACAUGAGACACUGAGAAGCUUCUCUUCUGCUGGAACCUGCUCCAUCUCCACUGGGUGUGAAUCACCAGUAGCAGCACGUGCCUUGCACAAAGCUAGCCUGAUGUUUGCUGGGCUCUCAGAUAAGAGGAACUUCUAUAAGACCCCCCCUUCCUCUAGGUUUUCUUCUUUUAUGAGAUCAGCUCAGGGCACAGGCAGGAUUAGGGGAUCAGAUAACAGCACAUCCUUCAGCAAAAUGAACUCUGAUAACUAGCCUACAAACAUUCAGAUUUUCAUCUUUCAGCUCUCUGUGUCAUCCUGAACUUGAAUGUAAUUACAGCUAUCUCCUCUGGCUUACUGCCCAUGAAUUAUUAUCCUGUACAUCAUCCACAAUUUGACAUUUAUUUGUUCCAAAUUAAAAUGACCUUUGCACUUGGGAGAUAAUAAAUUAUUUUUGGAAUUAUAGUAAUUCUCUGUCACCUGAAAUCAUGCACAAAGACAUGUUAGCACCAAAGGCGGGAUAAGGAAAAGGAAGCACUUCAGAUAUAUGAGCAAUCAAGAUUGAUAGAUUAUGUGUAUUGGU